rnacentral:rRNA from 1 species
AGAAACGAAACAGUGAUGUGGAGUAAAACUUAGAAAAACGGUACUCAGUUCGGAUUGAAGGCUGAAAUUCGCCUUCAUGAAGCUGGAAUUGCUAGUAAUGGCAGGUCAGCAUACUGCCGUGAAUACGUUCCCGGGCCUUGUACACACCGCCCGUCACACCAUGAGAGUUGGAAAUACCCGAAGCCUGUGAGCUAACUUUUAGAGGCAGCAGUCGAAGGUAGAGCCAAUGAUUGGGGUGAAGUCGUAACAAGGUACC